ACGGGUGAGUAAUGUCUGGGAAACUGCCUGAUGGAGGGGGAUAACUACUGGAAACGGUAGCUAAUACCGCAUAACGUCGCAAGACCAAAGAGGGGGACCUUCGGGCCUCUUGCCAUCAGAUGUGCCCAGAUGGGAUUAGCUAGUAGGUGGGGUAACGGCUCACCUAGGCGACGAUCCCUAGCUGGUCUGAGAGGAUGACCAGCCACACUGGAACUGAGACACGGUCCAGACUCCUACGGGAGGCAGCAGUGGGGAAUAUUGCACAAUGGGCGCAAGCCUGAUGCAGCCAUGCCGCGUGUAUGAAGAAGGCCUUCGGGUUGUAAAGUACUUUCAGCGGGGAGGAAGGCGAUAAGGUUAAUAACCUUGUCGAUUGACGUUACCCGCAGAAGAAGCACCGGCUAACUCCGUGCCAGCAGCCGCGGUAAUACGGAGGGUGCAAGCGUUAAUCGGAAUUACUGGGCGUAAAGCGCACGCAGGCGGUCUGUCAAGUCGGAUGUGAAAUCCCCGGGCUCAACCUGGGAACUGCAUUCGAAACUGGCAGGCUAGAGUCUUGUAGAGGGGGGUAGAAUUCCAGGU
rnacentral:rRNA from 1 species